rnacentral:rRNA from 1 species
UCCGUAGGCGGUGCGGCAAAGUCGGAAGUGAAGUCUCAGGGCUUAACCCUGAGGCUGCUUCCGAAACUGCCGUGCUCGAGUGCGAGAGAGGCGAGUGGAAUUGCAGGUGUAGCGGUGAAAUGCGUAGAUAUCUGCAGGAACAUCCGAGGCGAAAGCGGCUCGCUGGAUCGCAACUGACGCUGAGGGACGAAAGCUAGGGGAGCAAACAGGAUUAGAUACCCUGGUAGUCCUAGCCCUAAACGAUCAGGACUGGGCGUGGGCCUCGUACGGGGCUCGUGCCGCAGCUAACGCGUUAAGUCCUGCGCCUGGGGAGUACGGUCGCAAGGCUGAA